GACGAACGCUGGCGGCGUGCUUAACACAUGCAAGUCGAGCGGUAAGGGCCCUUUCGGGGGUACACGAGCGGCGAACGGGUGAGUAACACGUGGGUGACCUGCCCUCAGCUCUGGGAUAAGCCUGGGAAACCGGGUCUAAUACCGGAUAUGACUCCAUGACGCAUGUUGUGGGGUGAAAGCCUUGUGCGGCUGAGGAUGGGCCCGCGGCCUAUCAGCUUGUUGGUGGGGUGAUGGGCCUACCAAGGCGACGACGGGUAGCCGGCCUGAGAGGGCGACCGGCCACACUGGGACUGAGACACGGCCCAGACUCUACGGGAGGCAGCAGUGGGGAAUCUUGCGCAAUGGGCG
rnacentral:rRNA from 1 species